rnacentral:misc_RNA from 1 species
CCGAGUGCGAACCCCCCUCGUAAAAAAAGGGGGGUUACCUCCCGUCCUUUGCUGGGCAACCCCCCUCUAAUCGGAUGGGGGUUGUUUUCAGACCCUUCUGCUUCGGCGGGGUAACCUGCCGGAACAACCUCAAAAUAUUCUCAAUCAAAAACCGUUCAGUCCGAGAAAUUUUUGAAAAGCGAUA